rnacentral:rRNA from 1 species
UGGGGAAUAUUGGACAAUGGGCGAAAGCCUGAUCCAGCCAUGCCGCGUGAGUGAUGAAGGCCUUAGGGUUGUAAAGCUCUUUUGUCCGGGAAGAUAAUGACUGUACCGGAAGAAUAAGCCCCGGCUAACUUCGUGCC